UGGCUGUGAUGAGUUCCACUUCUGGUCCGUGUUUAUGAAUCCUGUGAUUUUAGUUUUGGAAGUGCUGAGUUA